ACAACAUUCGGACCGUCGGUCUACCGAGCAAUAUCACCCGUUCGGUGGAAAAUAUAUUCCCCGUCUU
rnacentral:pre_miRNA from 1 species